AAGCGACUCUGCGCGGCCCGAGCCUGGACGGCGGCUCCGAAGGACCAAAAAUUUUUCCCUAGUCCUUUCUCGUCCAAGCUAAAGUUCCUGUGGACUUCCCAGGAAAACGACAGUGUCCGGAAGCCUCUGCAAUGCCCUCUUAGGAUUGUCCAAGAAGAUGGCGAAACAUUUGCAGGCAGCGAUAGGAGUUGAGGGAAUGUGCGGGCUGAAACUAAGGUUUUUUUCUUUUGUUUUGUUUCGUUUUUGAGACGGAGUCUUGCUCUGUCGCCCAGGCUGGAGUCCAGUGGCGCGAUCUCGGCUCACUGCAACCUCCGUCUCCCGGGUUCCAGAGAUUCUCGUGCCUCAGCCUCGCGAGUAGCUGGGAUUACAGGCGUGAGCCACCACGCUUGGUUAAUUUUUGUGUUUUUUGUUUGUUUGUUUUUUGAGACGGAGUCUCUUUCUGUCGCCCAGGAGUGCAGUGGCGCGAUCUCGGCUCACUGCAACCUCCGCCUCCUGGGCUCAAGCGAUUCUCCUGCCUCAGCCUCCUGAGUAGCUGGGAUUACAGGCGCCCGCCACCACGCCCGGAUAAUUUUUUGUAUUUUUAGUAGAGACGGGGUUUCACUAUGUUGGUCAGGCUGGUCUUGAAUUCUUGACCGCGUGAUCCGCCCUCCUCGGCGUCCCAAAGUGCUGCUGGAAUUACAGGUGUGAGCCACCGCGCCCGGCCAAUUUUUUUUUUUUUUUAUUUUUUAGUAGAGACGGGGUUUCGCCAUGUUGGCCAGUCUGGUCUGGAACUCCUGACCUCAAGUGAUCCGCCCUCCUCGGCCUCCCAAAGUGCUGAGAUUACAGAAGUAAGCUACCGCGCCAGGCCUGAAGCCAUGGGUUUUGAGGGGUGUUUAUUUGUUUGUUUGCUUAGAGAUGGGGUCUUGAUCUGUCGCCCAGGCUGGAGUGCGGUGGCGCGAUCAUAGCUCACUGCAGCCUCCAACUCCUGGGCAAGUGAUCCUCCUGCCUCAGCCAACCCAAUAGCUGGGAUUACAGGCGCGAAGCCCACUGGUUUUUAGGUUUCAUGUUGCCUCUCCCACCCCCUCUCCUUCCAGGGGACUGGGGAACGGUGGAGGCUCAUAUAGACCUGAAAGGGGCACGAGGGAUCCUCCCAGGUUGCUGGAAUCUCUAGUAUCUUUACCUAGGUGGUAGAUACGUGGAUGUCUACAUUUUUUAAAAAAAUCAAUUAGACUAUUACAUUUUUAUUUUAUUUUGAGACAGCUUUUCACUCUUGUCACCCAGGCUGGAGCGCAAUAGUGCAAUCUCAGCUCACUGCAACCUCCACCUCCGGGUUUCAAGCUAUUCUUCUCCCUUAGCCUCCCAAGUAGCUGGGAUUACGGGCGCCUGCCACCACACCCAGGUAAUUUUUGUAUUUUUAGUAGAGACGGGUUUUCACCAUGUUGGUCAGGCUGGUCUCGAACUCCUGACCUUCAGAUGAUCCACCCGCCUCUGCCUUCCAAAGUACUGGGAUUAACAGGCGUGAGCCUCCACACCCAGCAACUAUUGCAUUUUAUUUUACUGUAUGUAUGUAAUACCUUAACCACACACAAAAAAUUACCUUGUUCAAAUUUUCCAGAAUUAGAAUUCUACCAGUUCCCCAAAGUCUUGCUGUUUCUCCAUGCCCCUUAGCCCUUACCAGCUGCUAGAGCUGUCUUUUCAUCCUUUGCACCCUGGCACACUCCUACUCAUCCCUCAGAACCCAAAUGUCACCUCUUAUCUCUAAAAUGUUCCUUGACAUCCUUCUGCCAAAUACUAGCCCCUUCCUCUCUGUUUACAAUGCAGAUUCGGUCCUAGUGAAUUACUGUUAUUUUCUACUCUGCCUCACUCAUGAAGGCACAAGACUUGAUUUACAUACGCUGUCCUCUUCAGGCCCUGCCACAGGGCCACAGAAGGACCUCACACAUUUCAUGUCAAUUGAGGUCACUGGACUGACCUGGGAAUGAGGAGCCUGGGUUGUUACUCCACUUUUGCACAUAGAUGUGUGACCUUGAUUAUUUUCCACCACGUCCUGGCCUCGGUUUCCUUAUCUGUUAAAAGGGAAUGACACCACAGGCCUUGCAAAAUUGAAGGGAUUAUUUCUUUGAAGACCAACAGGCGAUAGGGGGCAGUAGUGUCCCAGGAUCCAGUUUCCCGCUUCAGGUUUCAAGAAACAGGAGCAGCUGCAGUGAUGAAGUUUUCCCGACUAUGACAGUGUACAGUUGACCUUGAACAACGUGGGGGUUUGGGGCACCGACCCCUGCACAGUCCAAAAUCCUGGGGUCUUUUUUUUAAUUUGACAUGGAGUCUCCCUCUGUCGCCAAGGCUGGAGUGCAGUGGCGCGAUCUCAGCUCAUUGCAACCUCUGCCUCCCGGGUUGAAGCAAUUCUCCUGCCUCAGCCGCCCAAGUAGCUGAGAUUACGGGCGCCCGCCACCAUGCCCGGCUAAUUUUUGUAUUUUUAGUAGAGACGGGGUUUCACCAGGUUGGCCAAGCUGGUCACGAACUCCUGACCUCAGGUGAUCCACCCGCCUCGGCCUCCCAAAGUGCUGUGAUUACAGGCAUGAGCCACUGCGCCUGGCCUCAUUUUUGACUCCCCAAAAACAACUUUUUUUUUUUUUUUUUUUUUGAGAUGGAGUUUUGCUCUUGUCGCCCAGGCUGGAAUGCAAUGGCACGAUCUCGGCUCACUGCAACCUCCACUUCCCAGUUCAAGCAGUUCUGCCUCAGCUUCCUGAGUAGCUGGGAUUACAAGUGCCCACCACCACGCCUGGCUAAUUUUUAUAUUUUUAGUAGAGACUGGGUUUCGCCAUGUUGGCCAGGCUAGUCUCGACUCCUGACCUCAGGUGAUCUACCCGCUUUGGCCUCCCAAAGUGCUGGGAUUACAGGCGUGAGCCACUGCGCCCAGCCCAAAAACUUAACUAUUGACAGCAUACUGUUGACCAGAAGCCUUACCAAUGACAGUUGAUUAGCAUUUUGUUUGUUUGUUUUUCGUUUUUGUUUUGAGAUGGAAUCUCGCUCUGUUGCCCAGGCUGUAGUGCAGUGAUGUGAUCUCGGUUCACUGUAACCUCUGCCUCCUGGGUUCAAGUGAUUCUCCUGCCUCAACCUCCCAAGUAGCUGGGACCACAGGCACCCGCCACCAUGCCAGGCUAAUUUUUGUAGUUUUAGUACAGAUGGGGUUUCAACAUGUUGGCCAGGGUGGUCUCGAACUCCUGGCCUCAAGUGAUCCACCCACUCUGGCCUUCCAAAGUGCUGGGAUUACAGGCAUCAGCCACUGUGCCUGGCCAAUGACAGUUGAUUAGCAUAUUUUGUAUGUUAUAUAUAUUACAUGCUGUAUCCUUACAAUAAACCAGAGAAAAGAAAUUGUUAUUAAGAAAAUAAUAAGGAUGAGAAAAUAUAUUUACUCUUCAUGUAGUGGAAGUGACUCAUGGUAAAGCUCUUCAUCCUUGUCAUCUUUAUGUUGAGUAGGCUGAAGAGGAGGGGAGGAGGAAGGGUUGGUCUUGCUGUCUUGGGGGGUGGCAGAAGUGGAAGAAGUGGUGGAGGUGGAAAGAGAGAGGCAUGAGAGGCGGCAUACUUGGUGUAACUUUUAUUUAUUUAUUUAUUUUUAUUGAGAUGGAGUCUCGCUCUUUCGCCCUGGCUGGAGUACAGUGGCUCAACCUCGGCUCACUGCAACCUCUGUCUCCCAGGCUCAAGAGACUCUCCUGCCUCAGCCUCCCAAGUGGCUGGGAUUACAGGCGCCGGCCACUAUGCCCGGCUAAUUUUUGAAUUUUUAGUAGAGACAGGGUUUCACCAUGUUGGCCAGACUGGUCUCGAACUCCUGGCCUCAACUGAUCCGCCUGCCUCCGCCUCCCAAAGUGCCAGGAUUACAGAUGUGAGCCACGGUGCCCAGCCAGGUGAAAAAAAUCCAUAUAUAAGCGGACCCAUGCAUUUCAAACCUGCGUUGUUCAAGGGUUAACUGUAUUAUUGAACUGAAGAGUUCUACUGGUGAUCCCCUACUUCCCCAUCUUCCAGACUGGCAGACAUCCUGCUUUCCCUGGCAGGAUCUGCAGUCAAAUUUACCCAGAGGAUCCCAGGCUCUUAGGACUUGACAGGUCACCCACAGUAAAGCUAUCAUGUCAUGAGGACACUCAAGCAGCUCUGGGAGAGACCCCCUGUGGCUAGAAGCUGUGGAUUCUCACCAACAGCCAUGCAAGAUUCCCCAGCCCCAGUCGAGCCUUCAGAUGACCACAGCCCCAGCUGAUAUCUUGACUGCAAUAUCAUGAAAAACCAUGUGUCAGAACUGCUCAGACAUGUUGCUCCCAAAUUCUGGACCUGCAGAAACCAUGAAAGACAAUAAAUGAUUAUUGCUGUUUUAGGUCACUAUGUUUUGAGCUAACUUCUUACACAGCAAUAGAUACUAAUGCAUAUUUUAACCAGUUUCCUACAUUAAAACCUUUCUGUUGGAAAGACCUGGAGUGUGUUUUAUUUUUCUGACUGAUACAAACUCCUGUCCUGAAUUGUAAACCAAGAGUGAAAAAAUAAGAAAAAAGAGUAAAGAAGAUGGAAUAUCUAAAUACAGUCAUGUGUUACUUGAUGACAGCAAUACAUUCUGAGAAACAUAUGGGUGGCAAUUUUGUGGU
rnacentral:lncRNA from 1 species